CAGCAAUAAAUCAUUAGCAGAUCGGCCCACAGAUCAUUUGCCCUUUUGGGGCGCUGCCUGGCACUUCCCAAGAGGAAGAGAUUUAUCAGCGUUUGGCUGGCUGCCCUGCGCUCACGCAAUCGCAGGCUCCCAGCAGGUCGAGCCCGGUGGUUCCUCCUCCUCAGACACAGGGCUGUGCCAGACGAGGCCCAAGAAAACCAAAAGAAGGUCACGGGCUCAGGAGACACGGCUUUGAAGCAUCGGUGGGAAAGAUGCUCCAUGGCGGUUUGCAGCUGUGAGACCUCGAAUCCAACGCACUCGCUGGGGCCUCGAGGAAGGGAAGCAUUUAUGGGCUGCCCCCAUCUUCCAGGGAGUGUGGUGGGAAAACUGAAGCGCAAGGAGAUGGAGAAAUGUGUGUUCAAUCACGCAGCUCGGGGCGGAGCUGGAAUUCACACCUGGGACUGACUCCAAAGUUAUUGCGUCUGCACCAUGUGGACCACAAAAGCUGUUGCCCCUUAAAAAAGCCUCUUGAUUCCAAUAAGGUAAACAAACAACAAAUAGACAAACAAAGGUAGAGUCUUCGAAAGCUGAGCCAGCAGCCAAUCUACUGAGCAUAUCAUCAUUUGGGGGGACAGCGAGGAGAGGAGCAGAGAACACCUUUCACAGCUCGUUCACAGCAACAGCCACGCAGGAUGACUCUGACAGUCGUGGAGUAACCAAGGCCUGGAAUGGAUUCAGUUUUGUUAUUCUCAAAACUGUGUUUCUUUGCGAGUCUGGAGACAGACACACACACGGAGGAUGCCACGUGGGGAGGCAGAGAUUGGAGUGAUGCUUCUAUAAGUCCAGGAAUGUCAAAGAUGGCCAGCAAACCACCAGAAGAACCUCACAAAGAACCGAUGCCGCUGACACCUUGACCUCAGACUUCCAGCCUGCAGAGCUGUGAGACGACGCCUUUUGUUGCCUAAGCCACUCAGUUGUGGAGCUUUGUUAUGGCACCCCUCACAAUCUUCUCCACCCCACCCCACCCCUACAGAGGAGACAACGGGGUUAAGGGAGCUUUGCUUCUCCAGGACCCCUGCCCCCGGGCGCUCUCCCCCUGCACCCUCUCGGCUCCCAAAGUGCCCUGGAAGAGCAAAUUCUUCUCCACAUUCGUUACAGAGCAGCUUCUCACAGCCUCUGAGGACUUGGCACCUGAUGCCACCUAGCUCCUUGGGAAAGUCUCCUUCUUCCCAAACUCUUUUAAACAUAUUUCUCCAGGCAAAGCUAUUCUCUCCCUAAUUGGCACAAAUUAUUAAGAAAAUCAAUUCUUUUCCAUCUCGUUAAAACAAGGAAAAUAUUGACCAUAUUAGUCUUCUAUUGCUGCAUAACAAAUUAGCACAAAUUUAGCAGCCUAAAACAGCACAGACGUGUGUUUUAGCUAAGUCCUCUGCUGAGGGUCUCGCAAAGCUGCAGUUAAAGGGUUGGCUGGGCUGUGUUCUCAUUUG
rnacentral:lncRNA from 1 species